CGCCGCCAGCACACCACCAAGUGGCACCGAGCAGUGAUAACAAACUCAACUUAAAAAAAAGAAAAGGAAAAGGAAAAAACUUCCCCAAGUUGCAGCCCAAGAUGUGCGGACGUGCGGGCAGAGGCGCAGGGCGGGGAGUGUGGGUGGCCCGCAAGCCCCCCGGCUGCUCUCCCCAGCCGAAGAGAGCUCAGACGUGAGGCCGACCAGGCCCUGCGCCCCUGGCAGGUUGACCUGAAAACAAGGCACCGCCAUCCUCUAUAAUCGACUUUUUAUUAAGAUUAUAAAUUUAAACAAAUCUGAACAGUUUUACCCGGUGAUAUACAAUUCAGUAUGCACAAAAAUACAGGGGAAUGAGGGAGAAGGGCCAAGAAAGGAAGGGUUGGCAACUUGUUUUGGAGUCCACAUGGUGCCGAUGAUAGAGAACCAGAGGGGCUGCAGACCAACCCCACCUUUUUACAACAAAAGGCUUUAAAUUAAACAAGAUCUAUCGAGCUGAAGACACAGGACGGGGUUGUCACAGGCUCGAACAAUGCUGGUUUCAUGAAAUGCAACCGAAGGCUGAACCAGGGCAGUGCAACUUAGAAGCACACACACAAACACCACAUCUGACCAGGAACUUAGUGAAAAGUCUCCAACGCAGUCGGCGGUCCCGGCCCCUCCCUCCCUCGGGGCCGCCGGAGAUCCAGGAUUUCACAAGACCCAUUCCUCACCCCACGGAGGAACUUGGGAGAACGGAGCGCCGGGCUUCCUAGGUCUGACAACUGAUUGGAAUCGGAGCCCCGGGCCCCGCGCCCUCCUGCGCUGCGCCCCCAGCGCGCCCCGGCGGUCCGGGCGCCCUGCCUCGCCCCCGGCUGCCCGGCACCUCCGCCGGGCAGCAGCCCUUCCUCACGUGGCUGGCUCCUCUCUAAACACCACUGCAAUCACUACAAUAAAAAGAAAAAAAAAAGAGUAGGAGAAACACAAA